UGGGGAAUAUUGCACAAUGGGGGAAACCCUGAUGCAGCGACGCCGCGUGAGCGAAGAAGGUUUUCGAAUCGUAAAGCUCUGUCCUAUGAGAAGAUAAUGACGGUAUCAUAGGAGGAAGCCCCGGCUAAAUACGUGCCAGCAGCCGCGGUAAUACGUAUGGGGCGAGCGUUGUCCGGAAUUAUUGGGCGUAAAGGGUACGUAGGCGGUCUAUUAAGUCAGGUGUGAAAGCGUGAGGCUUAACCUCAUUAAGCACUUGAAACUGAUAGACUUGAGUGAAGGGGAGGAAAGGAGAAUUCCUAGAGUAGCGGUGCAAUGCGUAGAUAUUAGGAGGAAUACCAGUGGCGAAGGCGACUUUCUGGACUUUUACUGACGCUCAGGUACGAAAGCGUGGGGAGCAAACAGG
rnacentral:rRNA from 1 species